UAUACAAUCUACCCCCUACUGUGGGAUAGCCCAGAGAAAUUUGGAUUAAGACCACAUGGUACCAUUUUACGGCAUCGUAUUAAUGGUUAAAGGUUACGGUAGGGGAUGAGUAUGCGUCCCAUUAGUUAGUUGGCGAGGUAACGGCUCACCAAGACCGCGAUGGGUAGGGGCCCUGAGAGGGGGAUCCCCCACACUGGUACUGAGACACGGACCAGACUCCUACGGGAGGCAGCAGUGAGGAAUAUUGGACAAUGGGCGGGAGCCUGAUCCAGCCAUGCCGCGUGCAGGAAGAAUGCCCUAUGGGUAGUAAACUGCUUUUAUACGGGAAGAAAAAGAGCUACGUGUAGCUUACUGACGGUACCGUAAGAAUAAGGACCGGCUAACUCCGUGCCAGCAGCCGCGGUAAUACGGAGGGUCCGAGCGUUAUCCGGAAUUAUUGGGUUUAAAGGGUCCGUAGGCGGGCCGAUAAGUCAGUGGUGAAAGUUUGCAGCUCAACUGUAAAAUUGCCUUUGAUACUGUCGGUCUUGAGUUAUAGUGAAGUUGCCGGAAUAUGUAGUGUAGCGGUGAAAUGCAUAGAUAUUACAUAGAACACCGAUUGCGAAGGCAGGUGACUAACUAUAUACUGACGCUGAUGGACGAAAGCGUGGGGAGCGAACAGGAUUAGAUACCCUGGUAGUCCACGCCGUAAACGAUGGAUACUAGCUGUCCGGGUCCUUGAGACCUGGGCGGCCAAGCGAAAGUGAUAAGUAUCCCACCUGGGGAGUACGUUCGCAAGAAUGAA
rnacentral:rRNA from 1 species